rnacentral:lncRNA from 1 species
ACAGUGUAUCUCCUUCUCCAUCACCUCUCUCCCACGGUUUGAGAAAGGGACAUCUGUCUAAAUGGAGAUCAAGGACAAUUGAAAAGAGAAGAAAACAGGAAGUUACCACCGAAAGACACUGAAGACCAUUUAUAGUAUGGCAGCCGAUAAAGGAUUAAAAACAAAGCAUCAAAAAUGACCUCAGACCAAGAAAUAAAGAGCAAGAGUCAGAGGAAAUCCAAAGCAACUCCAUUUCCCUGAUGCAAACUUCAUCCCUCUCUGAAUGGCCCCCUCUCACUUGUUUCCUGACCUCAGCACUAACCUCACACAACAAAGGAGACUUCUCUUCUGAUUCUUUUGUUUCUAUUAUUC